rnacentral:rRNA from 1 species
GGUCCAGACUCCUACGGGAGGCAGCAGUGGGGAAUAUUGCACAAUGGGCGCAAGCCUGAUGCAGCCAUGCCGCGUGUGUGAAGAAGGCCUUCGGGUUGUAAAGCACUUUCAGUCGUGAGGAAGGUAGUGUAGUUAAUAGCUGCAUUAUUUGACGUUAGCGACAGAAGAAGCACCGGCUAACUCCGUGCCAGCAGCCGCGGUAAUACGGAGGGUGCGAGCGUUAAUCGGAAUUACUGGGCGUAAAGCGCAUGCAGGUGGUUUGUUAAGUCAG